ACAGGUGUGUUGAAAUUUGGUAGACAAAUUCCACUUAGGAUGGAAUGGCUUAAAAACCUUGCGAGUUCGAUUCUUGUCACCUGUA
rnacentral:tRNA from 1 species